CAUCUCCUUUGGUCAGGGGGGGAAUGCCACAGUGCAACCUGUGUCAAUUGGGCCGCCAGAUAGUAAUAGAAGAGGUUGGGCAGUCCCAGCCCUCCUGCGGUCUUGGGUCGGUACAGAAUGUUUCGGGAUACCCUGUGUCGUCUGUUGUUCCAGAUAAAACGUCCUAUUGCUUGUUGGAGAGGUGCUAAGUCAGUUUUAGUGACAGGGAUGGGCAGGGCCUGAAGACGUUCAUCUUGAUGGAGUGAACUCUCCCUAUCCACGAGAUUUCUCUACCCAUUUUUAAAUCGCUAAUCAGUUCCCUGAAGAGCGGGAUAUAGUUCUGUGUGUACAGUUGGUCAGAGGAGGCAGUCAGUCUGACUCUGAGAUAUUUUAUAGCUAUGCGGUUUAGUUGUAUGCUGUACGUUGUGGUUAUGAAUGCGGCGUCUCUGUCUGUCAUGUUAAGAGGUAGGGCACUUGACUUCCCCAGGUUUACUUUAUAGCCCGAUAGGCUUCCAUAUUCUGCUAAUAUCUGCGUUAGGGAUGUCGUCUGCGUAGCCCGCCACUGUGAAUUGUUCCCUCCCUAUUGUGACUCCGUGGAUGUUAGGAUGUUUCCUGAUGGUAUGCAGGAGUGGUUCCAGGGCCAGGACGAAGAGGAGUGGGGAGAGCGGGCAGCCCUGUCUGGUCCCAUUGCCCAGGCUAAAAGGGCUGUUCGGUGCUCCAGUAAUCCAAAUUUGUGCUCUGACGUCAGUGUACAUUGCUUUGAUGGCUGUUACGUAUGGGUCUGGGAGGCCCAGAUGAGUAAGUAGUGUGAAUAGGAAUGGCCACCUGACCCUGUCAAACGCCUUUUCAGCAUCUAACGACAGGAUCAGGGUCGGCUCCCCGGCCUUCGUCUUUCUCCAGAUAAUGUCUAUGUUGCGUUGUGUGUUCUCGAACAG